GGCCGGGUGGUGUAGUUGGUUAUCACAUUUCGUUUACAUUUAUUCAUAAAUGUUGUCCCGAAAAGGUCCAGGGAUCGAGCCCCUGUCUGGUCA